AGAAUGGUUCCCCCAGCGCCUGGGUGGAGUGGGGGGGGGGGAUGGGGAGUUCGUGUUUGAUGGGGACAGAAUUUCAGUUCAGAAAGAUGAAAAAGUUCUAGACACGGAAGGUGGUGACGACUGUACAAUCAUGGGAAUGUCCUUAAUGCCACUGAACUAAUACCCCUAAAAAUGGUUAACGUGAUCAAUUUGUGUGUAUUUUAUCACAAGAGAAAAUAUUUGUAUGUCUGACAUCACGUUCCACCCUCAUAACAUCCUUGAGGGAGGAACAGGGCUUUCUAAUCUCCAUUCUCUAAACCCAGGAAGGCAGGGCAGAGGGCUGUCGAUGAGAUCCAUUCCUUCCCCCUGGAAUCUGGACUCCAGGACCACCUCUCAUCACAUCGCCAAGUUCAACCAUCCUAUCCAAGGCUGUUCUCAGGCCUUCCCUGCCUCUGGCCCUUUGCUUGGAGGCACUGGAGGUAAGUCACCUCCACCGUUAAACUGCAGGGCAUUCGGCAGCUGUGGGAUGUCAGGAGAGGGUGAUUCGGGCCUGCCACCCCUCCUCCUUGUCGUCUUUGUUUCACAGCUGGUCACAGAUAUCAGCCUCUGCAGAUGUCCUGACCUGAUAGGAGUGCGCGCCCCCUGUUUUUAUCUCAGGUGACCAAGUUCCUCACAGUGGCCUGGAACCUUCAGGAGGGGCUUAGACCUCCUCAAAUUGCCACCCACCUCCUGGGUAGGUGGGUCCCUCUCCUCCACUCUCCUUUUUUGCCCUCUUUGGAGACCCUCCCUUCCUGGGCUUCACCCCUGGUCAGAUUUCUCCCACUUUCCAGGACAGCUCCUCAGAAUCCAUUCUGUUUCCUCCCUGGGGACACUAAAUCUCUCCUGAGGCAUCCCGGACCAAACCGCCCUCAGCUGAGCACUUCCUUUUUGUUUCAUUACCGUUAUCCUCUUUCACACCCUUUCCUCAACCCUCUGGAAGCUUCUUUGGCUGCAGACCUCUUCAUCAUGUGGCUGUUCUUUUGGAAGACAGGUGUGCCCUCCCAGGACUACUUGGGACUUUCCUUCAGAGCCCAAAAGGAAAAAGAGAGAACUUGAACGACACCAGGGCCCUAUCACCUCAGGUGCAAGGCGAUCCGACUUCUUCGGUGGCCUGGGGGACCGUGGAAGGGAAGGGAAGAGAGGACAGGGGCGUAGGGGACAGCCCCUGGCGGGCAGGCAGGCCAGACGGGUAUCGCUUCCCUCAGAAAGUGGGCUUCAGAGGGGGGCUCCGGAUUCCGGAGCAUGUGUGUACGUGUGUGUUGAGGGUGGGGUGUCUAGCCCCGGAGUGCGAGGAGGGUGGGGGCAGAGAAUCCUCCAGGCCAGGCCCCUGCGCCUCUUGGGUCCUAACCUCCACCCAGCGCCAACUUUUUGCUGCUCCCGUUAGAUGGCGCUCAAGACUUUUCUAACCACUUGUGAAAGUGAGCCUGGCCCGGAACAAAAAGCACCGCGGGGUGUGAGUGUGAGUGAUGGGGAGGGCGCGCGCGAGGCCGGGCACAGGCGCGGGCGUCGCCCCGGCACCACGCGGGGCCCCGCGUCGCGGGUCAGCCGGGCCCCGGGCGGAGCGCGCUUCUAGGAGGCCCCUCCGCAGGGCCGGCCGAGAACUUUCGCCACUUCCUUGCCCAAGUGGGAAACACUCGGGUUCGCUGCUGGGGCCCUGGCGGCGCUCCCCGGGAGCAGACGGGCGCCCGGCCGCGGCCUGGGGAAGCCGGCGCCCGCGGCCCCGGAACGCGGGUGACGGGUGCGCGGGGAGGGGGAGAGGGGCCGGGGCCGCGCCGCGAACUGGGGCGCAGACACCAGCGUGUCGUGACGCGCUCAUUACAACCCCUUCCUCUGUCCCGACUUACCGCCCCAGCUCUCUUUUUAAAAGAAGGGGGCAGGUGGUGGUUUUGUUGUUUUAACCGUUCAAAGGGAACUAUUCGGUGCAAGGUUUAAUAAACUUCGUGCGUGCGUGCGUCUCCAACAACCAAGGGCAAACUUUCUUGCUGCCCUUGAGCCCGAGCGGUGCCAUCUAACAGCCUCCUCUUGAAAUAAGCCCCUGGGUACCCUAGGGCGUAAGCUGCGAUCGCGAAUUUUAAAAUAACCCAUUAGGGACCCAGGUGGGAGCUUUGUCCCCACACACCAAGUGACUCUCUCCUUCCACGCCCUCCAAGAAGAGUGGCUCGACCAGAGGCGCUCCGGGCCACCGAUCCUCUCCUUAAUGCAGUCUGAGUGGGCACCGCGGCGGAGAGGGGAUGCGUCGCCCCAACCUCGAGAACACACGGGAGCCGACACCUUCCUUUGUGCCUCCCCUCGGCUCUGAACUUUGCCGCGCGGUCGGUUCUCCUUUAAGAAAGUAGCUAUCUCUGAAUAUGUAACGCCGGCGGCGGCCAGCCGGGCGGAGGAGAGCCCACCGGCCCGGGUCCCCGCGCGCGCCGCGGCCGGGGCGCACGGCGAGCGCGUCCACACACGCCGGUCCCGGCGAGAACCCGGGGCUGGGAGGGCGGGGGCUAACGGGAGCACAGGGCUAGGGAUCCUGAGCCGGGCGCGGGGUGAGCGGCCCGUCGCGUUCAUUUCCAUAAGAAAGCUGAAAUCGCGGUUGGAGGGAGGAUUUCUCGCCCUAACCGCCCUCCCCCUAUACCCGGUUUUCGGCAAGAAGCGGGCUCUGGAGCUCAGAGCCCUACGUGUGUGCGCUGGUCUUUGAUGGUAUUGAUAAAAUGUGGUUUCAGAUGUUGCCCCGACUGAGGCCGGUUUCCUGUCUGUUGUGCGGAGUGGAAGGACCGCGCGGGGACUCCAAAGCUGCUCGCGGUGAUCAAGCUGUUUCCAAAUUCUGCUACCUAAGAUGUUUACAGCACUCCACCCCAACGGAGGAGGUCAGAAGCUAGAGAGGAUGUUUUCAAAGAGUCCACCAGAGGAGUCUAUCAUCUAGGUCUGAAGGGACUUGCUUUCUCAGGAAACCUGGUGGGUGAGUCUGGUCAGAGGUGGAGGCAAGUUUCCUCAACUUACAACUUGCUUUGAAACUGACAUAGAAAGAGGGCAGCGAACGCUGUCACCCAGAGAGGGCCUCCACGGCCCUUUUCUCUCCUGGUGGACUCCUGAGACUCCCCCUAAGUGGCCCUUAGACAUUCAAGAUGUCAGGUAAGCUGGGAGGAGGAGUUUGAUCUGUCCCCUGCACCCAAGUAAAUACAAAUACAUUUUGCUCCUUGAAAAGAAAUGUCACCGCUUUAAACUUUCCCCAGCCAGAGAUCCAACUAGUUGCAUCAGGGUCUCUUGUCAGCAACCUUAACCCAUCCUGCCUCUUGUUUCCUUCUUUGUGGCCUAAGGUUGCAUUUUAGGGGGGUUUAUACAACGCUGCUCAUGUCAGCAAACCUCCCUGUCUCCAGCUUCACCCCAUCUCCCUGCCCGGAACUGUAGUCGGAAACCACAGACACACAAAUUCUCGUUAAAAUUUUCUGUUAUUCUUCCCGAUGGGAAGAGUUGACAAGACAUCGACAUUAAGUUGCAUAAAAUACAGUGGACUGAUCAGCCAGAAUGCAUCUCAUUUGCACUUGUACGGAGCCAGGGGUAGUGUCACUCCCUCCCUCCAGUUCUCUCUGCCAUGCUGGGCUGCCUGGCUGGAAUUUCCUAGCCGGCCCCACUCCAGAGGCCAUUGGUGAGGUCGGAGCCCCAGCCCAGCCCAGCUCAGGCCAGCCAGGGUUGGGGGGGAGGUGGGAGGGCAGAAGCCUCUGGAGGCCUGGCCUGAGGGUUGAGCCAACUUUGGCAGACCUUCCACUCUGGGCUGCCCCGGGGGGCUGUGAGGCCCUGCUGGGUGGGCGCAGGCGGCUGGAAGCCCCACAGUCUGCAGCUCUUCCGAGGGGCCCCCUCUGGGUUGAAUUAAAGAAAGAGGACACCAUGAAGGAGAGGGAUGGUCACUGAACACAGUUUGUACCCACUUCUACCCUUCUUCCCCAAUUUUGUUCUCAUCACCUCCUUUGUCGCCAGUGGAGGGGCACCGCGUCCUGAUGGGUUCUUCUCCCUACUCGUCCUCCUGACCUCAGAGCGUGAGGGCUUCUUCCUUUUCUCCCGCCUGGCCCAGCUGCCCUCCUGGGACCCAGAGUUCCCAGAAAAAAAAAAUGCCUUUCUCAUCAACUCUCAAAGGCCCCGGCAGCUGCAAGGGGGAGCCUCGGGAACCCAGUGGGGGCACCAGGGGGAAGUUUGGGGUCUCUACGCUGUUCUGCCUCACCACUCACAAUCACUCCCCUGCCGCUUUGGUCUCAACUUUCCCGAACCGGGUGCUGGGGCUUCAACUCCUAUCCACCAAUACCUACCCAGAGCAGGGGCGCCGGGUCACUGCCAAGGUUUGGUGGUGAAGGGAGGCCUGGGGGCAGCGGUGACAGAAGGGCCAGAGGGCAUGGGGGGCUCUGGGAACUUCAGCGGGGGUGGGGGGAGGACUCGAGUGCCCAAGCUUAGCCUCCUUGAAAGCCUCAAAAGCACGUCCCGGGGGCGUCUUUUCCAUGGUGUCCUGCUUGCUCUCCUUGCAAAGGCCAUGGUGACUCAGACAUCCGCCAAACCCAGGAGCUCCCCUUUUCUCCAGCGUUCUUCUUGUCCAGGAGGGAGGCGUGUGGACUGCUUCUGGGCCUCCACUGCCAGGCCUGAUCGCAGCCCAUGACCUUCGCGGAGGGGUGGGGGCGGGGGGGGAGCAACCAAGGGCCAGGGAUGUUGCCCAGCAAGACCGCGGCUUCACUGCGCCACCGGAGGAACAGCCACAGACGAGGCCCGGCGGACCCAGGCGCCGCCACCCAUCCAUGCCCGCGGCGGGCCUGCGGGAGCGCAGGGGCCGAGGCCGUGAAGCUGGGCAGCCAGCCUUGCACCAUUGACAGCCGGGGCACGUCUGCGGAGCCCGGGGGAACAAUCAACGGACUCUAUGUCCCGGGAGCUGGGCACACGCCUGUAAAGGUGUGUGAUAAUUUAAAGAUCCUUGGUACUACUUUUGCUUGAAUCCUUUGUUACAGCUUUGUCAGCUUGCGCGCCUUCGGCUGCUCCCUCUCCCCGGGCCCGCCCCCCACCCCAGGCCCCCUCCCCCC